UAAUCACUUUAUUUUCAGAAAGAAUCACAAGGACAAUUUAUGCAAAUUCGAUUGACUUUUGCUACCAUUACUUCCUUCUGGUGAUUUCCAAGCAAAAAUGUAUGGAUGGUGAUGUGGUAGACAAUUGUUCUCUUAAGGAGUGAAGAUCAAUCUUCUAGGAAGCAAUAGGUGACAGAGUAGAUGAAGAGGAAGCAGACAUCAUCUCGUUGGAAAAAGAACAACAUGGUUCCCUGUCGUUUUUGUGAGAAUGUCAAAAGGAAGAAAUUACUGUCACUCGGCAGG